UGCAGUCGAACGGUAACGCGGGGCAACCUGGCGACGAGUGGCGAACGGGUGAGUAAUACAUCGGAACGUGCCCAGUAGUGGGGGAUAGCCCGGCGAAAGCCGGAUUAAUACCGCAUACGACCUACGGGUGAAAGCGGGGGAUCGCAAGACCUCGCGCUAUUGGAGCGGCCGAUGUCAGAUUAGGUAGUUGGUGAGGUAAAGGCUCACCAAGCCUUCGAUCUGUAGCUGGUCUGAGAGGACGACCAGCCACACUGGGACUGAGACACGGCCCAGACUCCUACGGGAGGCAGCAGUGGGGAAUUUUGGACAAUGGGCGCAAGCCUGAUCCAGCCAUGCCGCGUGCGGGAAGAAGGCCUUCGGGUUGUAAACCGCUUUUGUCAGGGAAGAAACGCUCUGGGCUAAUACCCUGGGGUAAUGACGGUACCUGAAGAAUAAGCACCGGCUAACUACGUGCCAGCAGCCGCGGUAAUACGUAGGGUGCAAGCGUUAAUCGGAAUUACUGGGCGUAAAGCGUGCGCAGGCGGUUGUGCAAGACAGAUGUGAAAUCCCCGGGCUUAACCUGGGAACUGCAUUUGUGACUGCAUAGCUAGAGUGCGGCAGAGGGGGAUGGAAUUCCGCGUGUAGCAGUGAAAUGCGUAGAUAUGCGGAGGAACACCGAUGGCGAAGGCAAUCCCCUGGGCCUGCACUGACGCUCAUGCACGAAAGCGUGGGGAGCAAACAGG
rnacentral:rRNA from 1 species